CAGCCGCCACGGUAAUACGGAGGGGGCUAGCGUUGUUCGGAAUUACUGGGCGUAAAGCGCACGUAGGCGGCUUGGUAAGUUAGAGGUGAAAGCCUGGAGCUCAACUCCAGAAUUGCCUUUAAGACUGCCGAGCUAGCAGGUGAGAGAGGUAAGUGGAAUUCCGAGUGUAGAGGUGAAAUUCGUAGAUAUUCGGAAGAACACCAGUGGCGAAGGCGGCUUACUGGCUCAUACUGGACGCUGAGGCACGAAAGCGUGGGGAGCAAACAGGAUUAGAUACCCCGGUAGUCCCUGUCUCUUAUAC
rnacentral:rRNA from 1 species